CGGGAUCCAUCAAGCUUGCUUGGUGGUGAGAGUGGCGAACGGGUGAGUAAUGCGUGACCGACCUGCCCCAUGCUCCGGAAUAGCUCCUGGAAACGGGUGGUAAUGCCGGAUGUUCCACAUGAUCGCAUGUGAUUGUGGGAAAGAUUCUAUCGGCGUGGGAUGGGGUCGCGUCCUAUCAGCUUGUUGGUGAGGUAACGGCUCACCAAGGCUUCGACGGGUAGCCGGCCUGAGAGGGCGACCGGCCACAUUGGGACUGAGAUACGGCCCAGACUCCUACGGGAGGCAGCAGUGGGGAAUAUUGCACAAUGGGCGCAAGCCUGAUGCAGCGACGCCGCGUGAGGGAUGGAGGCCUUCGGGUUGUAAACCUCUUUUGUUUGGGAGCAAGCCUUCGGGUGAGUGUACCUUUCGAAUAAGCGCCGGCUAACUACGUGCCAGCAGCCGCGGUAAUACGUAGGGCGCAAGCGUUAUCCGGAUUUAUUGGGCGUAAAGGGCUCGUAGGCGGCUCGUCGCGUCCGGUGUGAAAGUCCAUCGCUUAACGGUGGAUCUGCGCCGGGUACGGGCGGGCUGGAGUGCGGUAGGGGAGACUGGAAUUCCCGGUGUAACGGUGGAAUGUGUAGAUAUCGGGAAGAACACCGAUGGCGAAGGCAGGUCUCUGGGCCGUCACUGACGCUGAGGAGCGAAAGCGUGGGGAGCGAACAGGAUUAGAUACCCUGGUAGUCCACGCCCGUAACGGUGGACGCUGGAUGUGGGGCACG
rnacentral:rRNA from 1 species